AAAGAUUACAUUGAUAGCACUUAAGCAUAGCACGAUUUUCGAUUUUGCUAUGAAAAAGACUACGUCGGAUUGGAAUACUUUAUUAUAGCAUUUUAUAAAUGCUAUGCCGAAAUUUUUUUUUUGGUUUCACGCCUAUCUUUUAAGUGCCCGCUUAAGUGAAAAACAAGCGGUUCAUUUUCCCUCUUAACACUUAGGGAAAAAAUCCACUAUCUCUUCUAUUCUCCAAGUCUCCAUCUCCAAACCCUAAUUUCAAUUCACCUUAUUGGCUGCAGAGCUUUCUGGAUUCACAAGCUCAGCUUCAGGAAUUGCAUUGGAGCGAGAAGAUCGGAUUCUCGUCGGAUUGAAUUCCACCACUGGAAGCGGAAUCUUCGAAUAUCCGAUGAGAUUCGCGUCUUCUUCCUCAGAUCGUUGAAGAAACAGUUUCUUGCGUCUAGGCUCGUCGGCUUCCUUCGAUUCCGGCGAUGGACGUUUCACGGGGCUGGUGGUUGAGGUGGUUGAAGAGGAGCCGAAAGAUCCGAAGUUGAAGAUGGUGCCAGAUACUUCGUCGACGACUUCAAUCUCUCUCUCUCGACCGCCGCUUUAUCCCUCUCAGUCUCCCUCUCUCUUUUUCCCCCUUUCCUUCGAUUUUGUCAUAAACCCUAAUUUUACUUCUUUAUUUCGUCUUGUUUUUGCUACAGGUUAUCCUAAGAGAUUUAAAUCGAGAAGGGAAAAAAUCUCUGAGCUUCUUUUCUCUUGUAGAGUGAAUCGAUGCAUCAGAUGCGACCAUCUCGAGCUUACGAUUCCUGGGGACGACGAAGAGGGAGAGGCUAAUUUGGGAUGUGGAGUCGCCGGUGAUGAUGGUGUUACGAGGGUUGAUGUUGAUGAAGAUUAUGAAGAAGCUGGUGGUAGUAAAGAGAGCAAAGCUAAUAGAUUAUAGAUGAGCCAAUCUCGGUGUUGCUCGAAUCCUUGAGAAAGCUUCAAUUGAUGUCUUUGAAUUUGGAUAUUCUUAAGAGUACUGAAAUCGGAAAGGCUGUUAAUGGUUUGAGGAAACAUGGGUUUUGAUAAGAUUCGCCAACUCGCAAAGACUAUUAUCCUUGAAUGGAAGGAGUUGGUAGCAGAAACUCAAAGCUUUUGAUGCAGACGCAAGAAGUGAAAAGCUCCAGGACCUUAACAAGAAAAACUCAAAGCUCUUGAUGCAGACGCAAAGUUCCAGUUUGCUAAGAGGAAACUUCAAGCGAGCUACCAACAACAUGAGAAUGGUUUGUUCCUUUACCUCUUGUGAUUUUUGACUGUGAACAUUUGUGUUUGCAGGUAGAUUCAGGCUGGGACAUUGAUGAAUAACUAUGCACAUAUAUUUGAUGCAAAACCUCUAAUAGGUUUGCCUCAGCAGGACCUCUAAAAGGAAUUCUCAGGUAUACAGAUGAAGAUGUUGUAUCUCUUCUUUUUCUUCAAAGUGAUAUGAAUAUCCUGAGUUUUGGCUUUGUG